CAGUCGCCGCGGGAAUACAGAGGGUGCGAGCGUUAAUCGGAUUUACUGGGCGUAAAGCGUGCGUAGGCGGCUUGUUAAGUCGGAUGUGAAAUCCCUGAGCUUAACUUAGGAAUUGCAUUCGAUACUGGGAAGCUAGAGUAUGGGAGAGGAUGGUAGAAUUCCAGGUGUAGCGGUGAAAUGCGUAGAGAUCUGGAGGAAUACCGAUGGCGAAGGCAGCCAUCUGGCCUAAUACUGACGCUGAGGUACGAAAGCAUGGGGAGCAAACAGGAUUAGAUACCCCCGUAGUCCCUGUCUCUUAUAC
rnacentral:rRNA from 1 species